GAUAUCAGGAGGAACACCGAUGGCGAAGGCAGGUCUCUGGGCAUUAACUGACGCUGAGGAGCGAAAGCAUGGGGAGCGAACAGGAUUAGAUACCCUGGUAGUCCAUGCCGUAAACGUUGGGCACUAGGUGUGGGGGACAUUCCACGUUUUCCGCGCCGUAGCUAACGCAUUAAGUGCCCCGCCUGGGGAGUACGGCCGCAAGGCUAAAACUCAAAGGAAUUGACGGGGGCCCGCACAAGCGGCGGAGCAUGCGGAUUAAUUCGAUGCAACGCGAAGAACCUUACCAAGGCUUGACAUGAACCGGAAAUACCUGGAAACAGGUGCCCCGCUUGCGGUCGGUUUACAGGUGGUGCAUGGUUGUCGUCAGCUCGUGUCGUGAGAUGUUGGGUUAAGUCCCGCAACGAGCGCAACCCUCGUUCUAUGUUGCCAGCGCGUUAUGGCGGGGACUCAUAGGAGACUGCCGGGGUCAACUCGGAGGAAGGUGGGGACGACGUCAAAUCAUCAUGCCCCUUAUGUCUUGGGCUUCACGCAUGCUACAAUGGCCGGUACAAAGGGUUGCGAUACUGUGAGGUGGAGCUAAUCCCAAAAAGCCGGUCUCAGUUCGGAUUGGGGUCUGCAACUCGACCCCAUGAAGUCGGAGUCGCUAGUAAUCGCAGAUCAGCAACGCUGCGGUGAAUACGUUCCCGGGCCUUGUACACACCGCCCGUCAAGUCACGAAAGUUGGUAACACCCGAAGCCGGUGGCCUAACCCCUUGUGGGAGGGAGCUGUCGAAGGUGGGACUGGCGAUUGGACUAAGUCG
rnacentral:rRNA from 1 species